GAUGAACGCUGGCGGCGUGCCUAAUACAUGCAAGUCGAGCGAACGGACGAGAAGCUUGCUUUUCUGAUGUUAGCGGCGGACGGGUGAGUAACACGUGGAUAACCUACCUAUAAGACUGGGAUAACUUCGGGAAACCGGAGCUAAUACCGGAUAAUAUUUUGAACCGCAUGGUUCAAAAGUGAAAGACGGUCUUGCUGUCACUUAUAGAUGGAUCCGCGCUGCAUUAGCUAGUUAGUAAGGUAACGGCUUACCAAGGCAACGAUGCAUAGCCGACCCGAGAGGGUGAUCGGCCACACUGGAACUGAGACACGGUCCAGACUCCUACGGGAGGCAGCAGUAGGGAAUCUUCCGCAAUGGGCGAAAGCCUGACGGAGCAACGCCGCGUGAGUGAUGAAGGUCUUCGGAUCGUAAAACUCUGUUAUUAGGGAAGAACAUAUGUGUAAGUAACUGUGCACAUCUUGACGGUACCUAAUCAGAAAGCCACGGCUAACUACGUG
rnacentral:rRNA from 1 species